GAUGAACGCUAGCGACAGGCUUAACACAUGCAAGUCGAGGGGCAACGGGGUUGUAGCUUGCUAUAACUGCCGGCGACCGGCGCACGGGUGAGUAACACGUAUGCAACCUGCCCGUUGCAGGGGGAUAAGCGGAAGAAAUUCCGUCUGAUACCGCGUAAUAUGGGCGAUAGGCAUCUAUCAUUCAUUAAAGAUUUAUCGGCAACGGAUGGGCAUGCGGUGCAUUAGCUAGUUGGCGGGGUAACGGCCCACCAAGGCGACGAUGCAUAGGGGUUCUGAGAGGAAGGUCCCCCACACUGGUACUGAGACACGGACCAGACUCCUACGGGAGGCAGCAGUGAGGAAUAUUGGUCAAUGGAGGAAACUCUGAACCAGCCAUCUCGCGUGAAGGACUACGGCCCUACGGGUCUUAAACUCUUUUAAUAGGGGGAUAAAGUCGCAUACGAGUAUGUGAUUGCAGGUACCCUAUGAAUAAGCAUCGGCUAA
rnacentral:rRNA from 1 species